rnacentral:rRNA from 1 species
ACAAGCGGUGGAGCAUGUGGUUAAUUCGAAGCAACGCGAAGAACCUUACCAGGUCUUGACAUCCCCUGACAACCCGAGAGAUCGGGCGUUCCCCUUCGGGGGGACAGGGUGACAGGUGGUGCAUGGUUGUCGCCAGCUCGUGUCGUGAGAUGUUGGGUUAAGUCCCGCAACGAGCGCAACCCUCGACCUUAGUUGCCAGCAUUCAGUUGGGCACUCUAAGGUGACUGCCGGCUAAAAGUCGGAGGAAGGUGGGGAUGACGUCAAAUCAUCAUGCCCCUUAUGACCUGGGCUACACACGUGCUACAAUGGGCGGUACAAGGGGUCGCGAACCCGCGAGGGGGAGCCAAUCCCAAAAAGCCGCUCUCAGUUCGGAUUGCAGGCUGCAACUCGCCUGCAUGAAGCCGGAAUCGCUAGUAAUCGCGGAUCAGCAUGCCGCGGUGAAUACGUUCCCGGGCCUU